UGAGGAAUAUUGGUCAAUGGGCGCAAGCCUGAACCAGCCAUCCCGCGUGAAGGAAGAAUGCGCUAUGCGUUGUAAACUUCUUUUCCAGGGGAAUAAAAUUCUGUACGUGUACGGGAUUGAAGGUACCCUGGGAAUAAGCAUCGGCUAACUCCGUGCCAGCAGCCGCGGUAAUACGGAGGAUGCGAGCGUUAUCCGGAUUUAUUGGGUUUAAAGGUGCGUAGGCGGAUUAAUAAGUCAGUGGUGAAAACCUUCAGCUUAACUGGAGACUUGCCAUUGAUACUGUUAGUCUUGAGUGUGGUUAAGGUAGGCGGAAUGUGUAAUGUAGCGGUGAAAUGCUUAGAUAUUACACAGAACACCGAUUGCGAAGGCAGCUUACUGAGCCAUAACUGACGCUGAUGCA
rnacentral:rRNA from 1 species